rnacentral:rRNA from 1 species
UACGGAGGGUGCAAGCGUUAUCCGGAUUUACUGGGUUUAAAGGGUGCGUAGGUGGGUCUGUAAGUCAGUGGUGAAAUCUCCGGGCUUAACCCGGAAACUGCCAUUGAUACUAUAGGUCUUGAGUUAUCUGGAGGUAAGCGGAAUAUGUCAUGUAGCGGUGAAAUGCGUAGAUAUGACAUAGGACACCAAUUGCGAAGGCAGCUUACUACGGAUACAGUGACACUGAGGCACGAAAGCGUGGGUAGCAAACAGG